rnacentral:sRNA from 1 species
UAAUAUCCCACUUGGUGUCCCGAAUAGA